AUGAUCACUUUCUCUCAAGCAGAAGGCACGCAAAGGGCAAAGAAGCAUCUAGUAAAGGUGAAGUUGAAAUGGGUGGAGAGGGAUUCGGAUGGUCGUCCAAUUCCCAAAAGGAGCAGAAGUGGAGAAACACGGAUGCGAGCCUCAGCUACAGUUGUUUCUCAGGAUGUUCGCGAGGACUCUGCCCCUUUUGAGUCAGCUGGGGAGGAUCAUGCAGUGUCAGAGUGCCCUCAACAGUUACUUGACAUUAGGACAAAGGACCAUCCGUCGACGUCAGAAUCAUGGUCAUUGCGUCAAUCUGCAGCCCACGAUGAGUGGCGUAAAGCAAGGCCGUAUCAAUUGAACAGUUUGCUGUCAUGCAAUGAGGUUCCCAAAAAAACAUGCUGCAACUGCUCAUCUCAAGCAGUCAUUCGUGUGGCUCUGCAUGGAUUGUGAUGUGACUAAACAUCAGUCCCUUGCACUCCACAAUCGUGAGUCCUGCGUCAAUGGAAUGUUAAUGCCCAUUGAGCCCGGGCUUUGCCUU
rnacentral:lncRNA from 1 species